GGGAUAUUGGUCAAUGGGGGGAACCCUGAACCAGCCAUGCCGCGUGAGGGAAUAAGGCCCUACGGGUCGUAAACCUCUUUUGCCGGGGGAUAAGGACGCCCAUGCGUGGGUGUUUGAAGGUACCCGGAGAAUAAGCAUCGGCUAACUCCGUGCCAGCAGCCGCGGUAAUACGGAGGAUGCGAGCGUUAUCCGGAUUUAUUGGGUUUAAAGGGUGCGCAGGCGGGCUGUUAAGUCAGCGGUGAAAGUUCCCGGCUCAACCGGGUCAGUGCCGUUGAUACUGACGGUCUUGAAUGCGGUCAAGGCCGGCGGAAUGUGGCGUGUAGCGGUGAAAUGCAUAGAUAUGCCACAGAACACCGAUAGCGAAGGCAGCUGGCCGGGCCUGCAUUGACGCUCAGGCACGAAAGCGUGGGGAUCGAACA
rnacentral:rRNA from 1 species